rnacentral:rRNA from 1 species
GACGAACGCUGGCGGCGUGCCUAAUACAUGCAAGUAGAACGCACAGUUUAUACCGUAGCUUGCUACACCAUAAACUGUGAGUUGCGAACGGGUGAGUAACGCGUAGGUAACCUGCCUGGUAGCGGGGGAUAACAAUUGGAAACGAUAGCUAAUACCGCAUAAUAUUGAUUAUUGCAUGAUAAUUGAUUGAAAGAUGCUAUUGCAUCACUACCAGAUGGACCUGCGUUGUAUUAGCUAGUAGGUGAGGUAACGGCUCACCUAGGCGACGAUACAUAGCCGACCUGAGAGGGUGAUCGGCCACACUGGGACUGAGACACGGCCCAGACUCCUACGGGAGGCAGCAGUAGGGAAUCUUCGGCAAUGGACGAAAGUCUGACCGAGCAACGCCGCGUGAGGGAAGAAGGGUUUCGGAUCGUAAAGCUCUGUUGUAAGAGAAGAACGGGUGUGAGAGUGGAAAGUUCACACUGUGACGGUAUCUUACCAGAAAGGGACGGCUAACUACGUG